UGGUGAACCAGCGGAGGGAUCAUUACCGAGUUUACAACUCCCAAACCCCUGUGAACAUACCUUAACGUUGCUUCGGCGGACCACCCUCGCCUUAACCGGCGGGGGCCCGCCAGAGGACCCAAACCCAAACUUUGUGUUUUUUGUCUUGCAGAACGAACUUCUGAGUGGAUUUUAUAAAUCAAAUCAAAACUUUCAACAACGGAUCUCUUGGCUCUGG
rnacentral:misc_RNA from 1 species